GUGCUCGCUUCAGAAGCACAUAUACUAAAGUUGGAACGAUACAGAGAAAAUUAGCAUGGCCCCUGCGCAAGGAUGACAGGCAAAUUUGUGAAGCAUUCCAUAUUUUU
rnacentral:snRNA from 1 species